rnacentral:lncRNA from 1 species
ACCCCUUCAGGCUUCACCACUGCUCUCAGCUUACAAAAUUAUCAAUCCUGUAAAUGAUCUACCAAAUUGGUGCCCCUGAGGGGAAAAUCCCACUAGUGGCCCUGUGGUAAUAAGUGAAGCAGUUCUCAAAACAAAGGGGCAAGAAGUAAUCCUGUAUUUGGAGUAGUGAUUGGAGUUUCAUCUCUUGAAGUAACUCUUCAUCUGUACAUUCAAUCCUCACAAUGUUUCAACAACUGGGGCUAGAUGUCACUUCCAGAAGAACAUUAUCACCUGUGAAGGAAAUGGGACACCUGGGGACAGCUUCACCUGCAGUUUGGGGAGAGCUUCCUACCAGGAACUGAAGGGUGGGAGGAGGGAAACCAGAGACUUUUUUUUUUUUUUAACUAUAUUAUUCAGUGUGCAAAAUCUUGAAAAAGAAAGUAUUUUGUAGAUUAAUUGUUUGAGGAAGUGUUUUGUAAGUGAAUUGUUCCUCUGAGGUGAUCUUUUCUUUUACAGUGCUUUCAUGAAAUGUUGGUGAAAAUAGCAGCUUUGCUGAGCAUGUUAAUAACACCAGUUUGUAUCCUGCAAACCAUUUCAUGGGUCACCAGCUAAGAUGGAGUUCAUUAAAAGACAAUUUAAGUUCUUCUGCAGUCUAAGCAAUACCAGGGGAAAUCCAAGGGUCCCAGUGGACUGGAUUAUGAACCAGCUGUGCCUGGCAAGCAAGGACCUGGAGCAAAGCAAGUGGCCUCAGCAUCACCCCUCAGCUGUGGAAAGCACACAGAAGUGCAUGUGCAGAGAGGUGCUUCCCAGAGUCUCAUGUUCAGCUGCAACAAUUCCUCACAGCCCCUCUCUUCUGUGUGUGUGGGACCCCCAUUCCCACACAACAAAAAGCCUCUGCAGCCUGACAACAUUAAAUUUCUGAUCUAACAGUGUCUAGAUGGAGGUGGUGCAUGAAUCUGGCAUGUCCUAGGGGGUAUCCAAGACAGCUUUGUGGAACCAUAAGAUUUAAUAUAGGAUCAAGGCUGAGGAUCUCCCAGUGUAAAUGAUUCUUCCUUCUCUUGUUCAGGCUCCUGAGCAUACAGGAUACUGACCCAGAACCUCAUCAUCAGUAACUCCUGGAAAAAUAUUUUCUCUGGUUAAAAAUUCAAAUUCAGACUAUUGUUUCACUUACCUUUUAUUUUUCUUUUUUAUUUUUCUUUUAACCUGAAGACAGGCUGGAUGGGGAAGAAGUGCCACAUGAAGAGACAGUCCAUAUUAUCAUCCUCAUGCAGGAGUCAGAGCAUCCAGCCAUGAGAAGCAAAUUUUAUCAAACCAAACUUUAUCAUCUUUUCAGCUAAACAAUUUACUCCAAAACUGAAUCUAAAAGAGAAAAGUUUUGUUUUGCGUUUACUAUUACUACUCAGUGGGCCAGCACUCCCAAUUUGGCUUCUUCAAUUUUAGGCCUCCAAAUCAACCCCUGGAACCCUUCCUAGGGCUUUUCUUGACAUGGACACUUGGAGUUAUGCUUCUUGACCAUGAUAACAAGCCACAGAGCACAGGGGGAUGCUUUGUGCUUUAUGGUUUUGGGACCAAAGCGAUGCAUUCAUACUGCCUGUUAUGGCACUUAGGGUCAGGACUAUUUCAGCUCUCAGCUGUCUAAAGCUGCUGGGUGCUGAAUGAGGAAAGAGGUAAAAACCACUCAUGAGUUACACAUACAGAAAUAUGUCCUUCAGGUACAACCUGCGUCUCUUGCCACCAGUAACUGUGGUAGCCAGCCCACAGUGCUGGGGAGUAAAGUUUGUUUAUACAUAUGGCUGUCUCUCCUUGUCUGGAGGCACAUCACUGGCCAUUCCAUUGUCUGCGUUAGGAUGUCUGUGGACAGCUACAACAAUUCUGGUAAGGUCACUCCUUGUCUCUAUCCCUCAGUUGCUCCAUCCACAUAA